GGUUUCUCUCAGUUGGUAAAGCAUGAGACUCUUAAUCUCAAGGUUGUGAGUUCAAGUCCCACGUUGGCUG
rnacentral:tRNA from 1 species